CGAGGAGAAUUAAAACACAGUUAAAAAUCAAAAGGUAAAGUAAAGGAUGCUUUGGCAGCUCUUUAAACCACAAGAUUUCCAAUCUCUCCCUCCUAGGAUGCUCCUCCAGCUCCCAGCACGGCCAGGAAAAGCUUGGGGAUGGUUCCAUAUGAAAGCACCUCUGCAGGGCCACGCAGAGGGGAGGGAUGGCAGUGGAUGGCAAUGGGACGGUGUUGGGACGGAAGGAGCAGAGACGACAGCUUCUGCAGCACUAGCACCUGACAAGCCUCCUCCUAACGCACAGAACUACCUGCAGCCAACAGCAGCUAACAGAGCCAAACUGCUGCCAACCCAGGCACCUGAGGAACACAGGAAUGCAAGUUAAAAAGAGCCGGAGACAAGAUUUGAAAAUGUUUUGUUCUUCCUUCAAGAAGAAUGUUUAAAAGACUAAACUUCAGAUAUAAAAAUUUCCUGCUUUUUCAAAGCACAAUCCAUUUAAGGAAAAUAUAAUUAUUACUAUA